AACAACACACAGCCACCAAUUUUCGUUGUAAAGUGAAAUAAAGCAAUCAAAUGUUCAAAUUGUUUGGGAGCCAGCUCCAGUUCCGAACUCGUUGACUUCGUGAAAAACGCCAGCAACCCAAAAAAAAAACAAAAAUGAAAAAGCAAAACAGAAAAUUAUAGCAAGUGCAGAGAAAAUCAAACAAUGACAAAUUGCUGGGAAUAGCUUUUCUUUUCCAUCAUUUUCCCCAUAAUGUGAAAACUUUGGGUCAAAAAAAAAGAUAAAAAAUCUUACCACAGAAACACAAAAACGGAAAGAGAUAAAGUUAAAGUCAAAUUACUUUGCUUUCAGAGAUUUCGUUUGGUUGCAACUUAUCCAAACUGAAAUUUAUCAAUUUUCGCAGAGAGAAAUAUAAAAUUCAUUUCUUUUGUUA